CUGGAAGGUUGGGAUGGUCCAGCUAAUUCAUCAGCUGUUGCUGUCUGCUGUCUAGCAACACCAGCUGGGGUAUUCACUGUUGAAGGUGUCUGGGAUAUAGCUGAAGUUGAAGGUUGUACUCGUCUGGAAGGUUGGGAUGGUCCAGCUAAUUCAGCAGUCAUUGCUCGCCGCAUUGCAACAUUAGCUCGUGUAUUAGACGACGACCUAUCUACAGAUAGCCAAAUUCCAUCGGUUGAGGAUGCCUGGGCUACAGCUGAAGUUGAAGCCGAUCUUAGAAUAUCACGAUCAUCUUGAAAGAAGGAAUCUCUUGAACUCUGACUUGGUGGAACUACAGAUCCAGGGCUUGAAGGUGGUGAAUCUAUGAUGCUUGAAUUUGGGCUUGAUGGUGAACUAGCUGAUGCAGCGAUAUGACAGCAGAGGAGAUCCUAACUGUCUAUUAUGGACAGUAUAAAGAAUAUGUGGCAGAAUGCAGCCACGAACUGGAAGAGGAGAGAGAAGAGGAGGAAGAAGAAAUAGAAGAAGAUGAAGGGAU